rnacentral:tRNA from 1 species
GAGUAGCUGCUUGUGAUGAUUGUGGUGACUGACAGGCAUCCGUCAAGAGCCGGGAGCGCAGCGGG